CCUACGGGGUGCAGCAGUGGGGAAUAUUGGACAAUGGGCGAAAGCCUGAUCCAGCCAUGCCGCGUGUGUGAAGAAGGCCUUCGGGUUGUAAAGCACUUUCAGUGGGGAAGAAAGCCUUGGGGCUAAUACCCUCGAGGAAGGACAUCACCUACAGAAGAAGCACCGGCUAACUCCGUGCCAGCAGCCGCGGUAAUACGGAGGGUGCGAGCGUUAAUCGGAAUUACUGGGCGUAAAGCGCGCGUAGGCGGUCUGAUAAGCCGGUUGUGAAAGCCCCGGGCUCAACCUGGGAACGGCAUCCGGAACUGUCAGGCUAGAGUGCAGGAGAGGAAGGUAGAAUUCCCGGUGUAGCAGUGAAAUGCGUAGAGAUCGGGAGGAAUACCAGUGGCGAAGGCGGCCUUCUGGACUGACACUGACGCUGAGGUGCGAAAGCGUGGGUAGCAAACAGGAUUAGAUACCCUAGUAGUC
rnacentral:rRNA from 1 species